rnacentral:rRNA from 1 species
CCUACGGGAGGCAGCAGUAGGGAAUAUUGCUCAAUGGGGGAAACCCUGAAGCAGCAACGCCGCGUGGAGGAUGAAGGUUUUCGGAUUGGAAACUCCUUUUGUUAGAGAAGAUAAUGACGGUAUCUAACGAAUAAGCACCGGCUAAAUCCGUGCCAGCAGCCGCGGUAAUACGGAGGGUGCAAGCGUUACUCGGAAUCACUGGGCGUAAAGAGCGCGUAGGCGGGAUAGCAAGUCAGAUGUGAAAUCCUAUGGAUUAACCAUAGAACUGCAUUUGAAACUGUUAUUCUAGAGUAUGGGAGAGGUAGGUGGAAUUCUUGGUGUAGUGGUAAAAUCCGUAGAGAUCAAGCGGAAUACUCAUUGCGAAGGCGACCUGCUAGAACAUAACUGACGCUGAUGCGCGAAAGCGUGGGGAGCAAACAGGAUUAGAUACCCUAGUAGUC